rnacentral:rRNA from 1 species
CGUGAGCAACCUACCUUUGAGUUCGGGAUAGCCCUGAGAAAUCAGGAUUAAUACCGGAUGUGGUUACAGAAAGACAUCUUUUUGUAAGUAAAGGCGCAAGCCGCUCAAUGAUGGGCUCGCGGCUUAUUAGCUUGUUGGUGGGGUAAUGGCCUACCAAGGCGAUGAUGAGUAGCUGGUCUGAGAGGACGGUCAGCCACACUGGGACUGAGACACGGCCCAG